AUACGGAGGAUCCAAGCGUUAUCCGGAUUUAUUGGGUUUAAAGGGAGCGUAGGUUGGCAUAUAAGUCAGCUGUGAAAGUUUACGGCUCAACCGUGAAAUUGCAGUUGAUACUGUAUGUCUUGAGUGUACAAGAGGUGGGCGGAAUUCGUGGUGUAGGGGUGAAAUGCUUAGAUAUCACGAAGAACUCCAAUUGCGAAGGCAGCUCACUGGGGUACAACUGACACUGAGGCUCGAAAGUGUGGGUAUCAAACAGGAUUAGAUACCCUGGUAGUCCACGCAGUAAACGAUGAUAACUAACCGCUGGGUCGUAGUGAUUCAGUGGCCAAGCGAAAGCGAUAAGUUAUCCACCUGGGGAGUGCGACCGCAAGGUUGAAACUUAAAGGAAUUGACGGGG
rnacentral:rRNA from 1 species